UAAUCUAAGUUUGGGAGCUUACAGCGAGGUAGGCUGAGAAAGAUGCCAGCAUCUGACCGUACCUGAUCUGGACAAUGCCAGCGUAGGAAUCAUAUACAAACACAUA
rnacentral:ncRNA from 1 species